rnacentral:misc_RNA from 1 species
AUGUUGGAAUGGCCUGUUUGC